UACGGAGGGUGCGAGCGUUGUCCGGAAUCACUGGGCGUAAAGGGGCGCGAUAGGUGGCGAAGGCAAGUCAGGUGUGAAAUCUCGGGGACUCCGAACCCCGAAACACUGGCACUUGAUACUGCGGUGCUCGAGUACUGGAGAGGAGAUUGGAAUUUACGGGUGUAGCAGUGAAAUGCGUAGAUAUCGUAAGGAAGACCAGUGGCGGAAGGCGAAUCUCUGGGACAGUUACUCGACACUGAGGCUCGAAGGCCAGGGAGCAAACGGG
rnacentral:rRNA from 1 species